AUUGAACGCUGGCGGCAUGCUUUACACAUGCAAGUCGAACGGAAGCGCGGGCUUCGGCCUGGCGGCGUGUGGCGAACGGGCGAGUAAUACAUCGGAACGUGCCCAGUAGUGGGGGAUAGCUUGGCGAAAGCCGGAUUAAUAUAGCAUACGACCAGAGGGUGAAAGCGGGGGAUCUUCGGACCUCGAGCUACCGGAGGGGCCGAUGGCAGAUUAGCUAGUUGGUGGGGUAAAGGCCUACCAAGGCGACGAUCUGUAGCUGGUCUGAGAGGACGACCAGCCACACUGGGACUGAGACACGGCCCAGACUCCUACGGGAGGCAGCAGUGGGGAAUUUUGGACAAUGGGCGAAAGCCUGAUCCAGCAAUGCCGCGUGUGUGAUGAAGGCCUUCGGAUUGUAAAGCACUGUUGGCGGGAACGAAAAGGACUGUGCCAAUACCACGGUUCGAUGACGGUACCCGCAGAAUAAGCACCGGCUAACUACGUG
rnacentral:rRNA from 1 species